UACGAAGGGGGCUAGCGUUGCUCGGAAUCACUGGGCGUAAAGCGCACGUAGGCGGCUUCUUAAGUCAGGGGUGAAAUCCUGGAGCUCAACUCCAGAACUGCCUUUGAUACUGAGGAGCUUGAGUCCGGGAGAGGUGAGUGGAACUGCGAGUGUAGAGGUGAAAUUCGUAGAUAUUCGGAGGAACACCAGUGGCGAAGGCGGCUCACUGGUCCAUUACUGACGCUGAGGUGCGAAAGCGUGGGGAGCAAACAGG
rnacentral:rRNA from 1 species